rnacentral:rRNA from 1 species
UACGGGAGGCAGCAGUGGGGAAUUUUCCGCAAUGGGCGCAAGCCUGACGGAGCAAUACCGCGUGAGGGAUGACGGCCCUUGGGUUGUAAACCUCUUUUAUCAAGGAGGAAGUUCUGACGUGUACUUGAUGAAUAAGCAUCGGCUAACUCCGUGCCAGCAGCCGCGGUAAGACGGAGGAUGCAAGUGUUAUCCGGAAUCACUGGGCGUAAAGCGUCUGUAGGUGGUUCGAAAAGUCCACUGUUAAAAAUUGAGGCUUAACUUCAAAGAUGCCGUGGAAACUUUCAAACUAGAGUAUGGUAGGGGUAGAGGGAAUUUCCAGUGGAGCGGUGAAAUGCGUAGAUAUUGGAAAGACCACCGAUGGCGAAGGCACUCUACUGGGCCAUUACUGACACUGAGAGACGAAAGCUAGGGGAGCAAAUGGGAUUAGAUACCCCAGUAGUCCUAGCUGUAAACGAUGGAUACUAGAUGUUGUGUGUAUUGACCCAUGCAGUAUCGUAGCUAACGCGU